rnacentral:rRNA from 1 species
ACACAUGCAAGUCGAACGGAGCUUAGAGAGCUUGCUUUUUAAGCUUAGUGGCGAACGGGUGAGUAACGCGUGAGUAACCUGCCCUGGAGUGGGGGACAACAGUUGGAAACGACUGCUAAUACCGCAUAAGCCCACGGUACCGCAUGGUACUGAGGGAAAAGGAUUUAUUCGCUUUAGGAUGGACUCGCGUCCAAUUAGCUAGUUGGUGAGGUAACGGCCCACCAAGGCGACGAUUGGUAGCCGGACUGAGAGGUUGAACGGCCACAUUGGGACUGAGACACGGCCCAGACUCCUACGGGAGGCAGCAGUGGGGGAUAUUGCACAAUGGGGGAAACCCUGAUGCAGCGACGCCGCGUGGAGGAAGAAGGUUUUCGGAUUGUAAACUCCUGUCGUUAGGGACGAUAAUGACGGUACCUAACAAGAAAGCACCGGCUAACUACGUGCCAGCAGCCGCGGUAAAACGUAGGGUGCAAGCGUUGUCCGGAAUUACUGGGUGUAAAGGGAGCGCAGGCGGGAAGACAAGUUGGAAGUGAAAACCAUGGGCUCAACCCAUGAAUUGCUUUCAAAACUGUUUUUCUUGAGUAGUGCAGAGGUAGAUGGAAUUCCCGGUGUAGCGGUGGAAUGCGUAGAUAUCGGGAGGAACACCAGUGGCGAAGGCGGUCUACUGGGCACCAACUGACGCUGAGGCUCGAAAGCAUGGGUAGCAAACAGGAUUAGAUACCCUGGUAGUCCAUGCCGUAAACGAUGAUUACUAGGUGUUGGGGG